UACAGAGGUCUCAAGCGUUGUUCGGAUUCAUUGGGCGUAAAGGGUGCGUAGGUGGCGGGGCAAGUCUGGUGUGAAAUCUCGGGGCUCAACCCCGAAACUGCACUGGAUACUGCCUUGCUCGAGUACUGGAGAGGAGAUUGGAAUUUACGGUGUAGCAGUGAAAUGCGUAGAUAUCGUAAGGAAGACCAGUGGCGAAGGCGAAUCUCUGGACAGUUACUGACACUGAGGCACGAAAGCGUGGGGAGCAAACAGG
rnacentral:rRNA from 1 species